UUUCUAUAUUAUAAUAUUAUAAACACGUCCUACCAUCUAGUCCUACUCUCUAAUCAUGUUCGGUGAAAUGAUUUUUUUUAAUAAUAUUUUUAUUAAAAGAUUUAUAAUUUAAAUCAAUUUAAAGUUUUCUUUCAAAUAAUUAUUUAA
rnacentral:sRNA from 1 species